AUGUCGUCACCACUGUAUGUAGAUGGUUGGGUUGUUUGUUCUAAUCCACCACUGUAUUUAGACGGUUGGGUUGUUUGUUCUAAUCCACCACUGUAUUUAGACAGUUGGGUUGUUUGUUCUAAUCCACCACUGUAUUUAGACGGUUGGAUUGUUUGUUCUAAUCCACCACUGUAUUUAGACAGUUGGGUUGUUUGUUCUAAUCCACCACUGUAUUUAGACAGUUGGGUUGUUUGUUCUAAUCCACCACUGUAUUUAGACAGUUGGGUUGUUUGUUCUAAUCCACCACUGUAUUUAGAUGGUUGGGUUGUUUGUUCUAAUCCACCACUGUAUUUAGACAGUUGGGUUGUUUGUUCUAAUCCACCACUGUAUUUAGACAGUUGGGUUGUUUGUUCUAAUCCACCACUGUAUUUAGACAGUUGGGUUGUUUGUUCUAAUCCACCACUGUAUUUAGACAGUUGGGUUGUUUGUUCUAAUCCACCACUGUAUUUAGACAGUUGGGUUGUUUGUUCUAAUCCACCACUGUAUUUAGACAGUUGGGUUGUUUGUUCUAAUCCACCACUGUAUUUAGACAGUUGGGUUGUUUGUUCUAAUCCACCACUGUAUUUAGACAGUUGGGUUGUUUGUUCUAAUCCACCACUGUAUUUAGACAGUUGGGUUGUUUGUUCUAAUCCACCACUGUAUUUAGACAGUUGGGUUGUUUGUUCUAAUCCACCACUGUAUUUAGACAGUUGGGUUGUUUGUUCUAAUCCACCACUGUAUUUAGACAGUUGGGUUGUUUGUUCUAAUCCACCACUGUAUUUAGAUGGUUGGGUUGUUUGUUCUAAUCCACCACUGUAUUUAGACAGUUGGUUUGUUUGUUCUAAUCCACCACUGUAUUUAGACAGUUGGGUUGUUUGUUCUAAUCCACCACUGUAUUUAGACAGUUGGGUUGUUUGUUCUAAUCCACCACUGUAUUUAGACAGUUGGGUUGUUUGUUCUAAUCCACCACUGUAUUUAGACGGUUGGGUUGUUUGUUCUAAUCCACCACUGUAUUUAGACAGUUGGGUUGUUUGUUCUAAUCCACCACUGUAUUUAGACAGUUGGGUUGUUUGUUCUAAUCCACCACUGUAUUUAGACAGUUGGGUUGUUUGUUCUAAUCCACCACUGUAUUUAGACGGUUGGGUUGUUUGUUCUAAUCCACAUCAGUACAAAUUGUUCUCUAAACUCCAGAACUGCAGAUCCUAUACAUUACCAGAGAGGAGUCAUUACUGGUGAAUGUAGACAGGGGUCAAUAACAAUAAUGUUGUUUGACAUAAAAAAUGAAAUGUACAGUUUUAAAUGUAAAUAUCCAGUAGCCUAUAGGCCUCAGCCAGACAACGUUCUUAAUUACAGCCAGGUGUUAGGUACAUUACAGUACAUUAUGUGCUCUUGCGAACAGUAAAAUAUUGUCAAAAUAUCUUAACAAAAACACAUGACAUAGCUGAUAAUGACAAUAACAACUUCCAAAAAACAAAUGUUGUGCUGCCCCUAAUGCACCACAUCCUCUGUAAAGUACAAAUGAACAACGAAAGGGGGGCCAUGAAAUAGCCAUGCUAGCCCAAUGACCACGUGUAGUAAAAUCAGGGGCGCAACUUUGGUUUUAGAAGUGGGAGGGGCAUAUAAAUAUAUUUUUUUACAUGUUUUAAAUUUUUUUAUUCAGUCGGAUAAACACUCUAAACAGCCUACCCAUCCGCUCGGAGGCGUCUGCAUGGUCCUAAAGCACACCGUUGCCUCGUUUUGAAUCACAUUCCAAAUGAUAAAACUGGUUGGGGGGGGACAUGCCC
rnacentral:lncRNA from 8 species